UUAGCGCGUGAUAUAGCGGCGAGAGCCGACAGGUUACAGGACGGAUUCGCUCCGUCAAGGACUGGGUUCGUUCUUCAGUAGGGGCGUCAGAAGUGUAAGCUUCUGGAAUCCUUCCCACUGGUGCGUUGUUAGGUUGAUGAUAGAUGGGUGUCUAAUCCCAGGCUUCCUCCCGAGUAUAAAUACUCGUUGCUUAGGAGGCCGUAACGACUUCUAUUGUACGACGUCUCUUCAGAUCUACAUUGGUUGCUCGAACCGAUGAGUCUGUAGGUAUUUCAAGUGCGUGUCAUUCCUUGGUAAGGACGCACGUCUGAACUCUAAGAUAUUCGGAGACUGUUCGUAGCUCAGUCUUAUCAAGUCAUGCCUUAAUCACGCAGCGAUUAAGGUCUGUAACGCUAUAAGGCGCUACAACAUCUGCCCCCCUUUCUAGACGCCUGCGUCCACGCGGCGCGCAGUCCAAUAGGCAUCAAUAAGAGAUCUGUCGGGGAAAGCAGGUUCUUCAAUCCAACUGUUAUUCUCAUGUCCAUGACCAACCCAUUUCACGAGAUAUCGUGUCAGGGUUCGGUUUCGGAGUUUCCGUUGAUCAUGAUCUAGAAUGCGUUCAGGUGUCCAUACAGAGGUAGAACCUUCAGGUUCAAUUCUGACUGUAGGUCGAGGUGGUUGUACGGUACCAUCAGAUCGAUAAGGCCGUAUCAACGAUACAUGGAAUACGUUAUGGAAACGAUAUUCCUCCGGAAGAGUCAAUCUAGCGGCAGCAGGAUUGAUCAUCUUCUCAAUCGUGAAAGGUCCAAUCCAUUUAGGCAUCAGUUUCUUCGAACCUUUCUGGAGGGUUAAGUUCUUCGUACUGAGUAAGACUUGUUGUCCUUCAGUAAACGACACAUCACGUCGUCCUUUAUUUUCUUGCUUAGUCAUUCGAUCUUGCGCAGCCAUCAACGCGGAUUUAGCAGCAGCAAGUCUCUUGGCAUACGUAUCAACGUAACCUUUGGCAAAGGGAACUGUGUCACCGAGUUCGAGUUGUACAGGGGUCUUAGGAUGAUAGCCAUAAUUCAGGAAGAAUGGACUAACUCCUGUCGAACGAUUCUUCGAGUUAUUAAUCGCAAAUUCGGCCGGUCCGAGAUAUAUCUCCCACUGUGAAGGUUCCUGAUCACAGUAGUUUCUCAACAUGUCUCCAAGGACGCGGUUAACUCGUUCUGUCUGACCAUCAGUCUGAGGAUGGAAAGCAGUACUCAUCGCCUGCUUUACCUCUAGCCUCUUCAUGAGAGAGGUCCAGAAAGCACCAGUAAACUUGGUGUCACGGUCUGAGACGAUGGUAUCUGGUAAACCGUGAAGCCGUACCACGGUGUCAAAGAAUAAAUCUGCAGUUUCUUCUGCAUCUAUCUCUUUCUUGCAUGGUCGUACAUGCACCAUCUUAGUCAGUCGGUCUACAAAUACCACAAGGGAGUUGUAACCUUUUCUAGUCGAGGGCAGUCCGAGUACAAAGUCCACUGAGACGCUGUUCCAGGGUCUUUCAGGAAUCGGCAGAGGUCGAGAUAGACCUAGCGGUUUGCCUGAUGAAGCUUUAUUCCGUUGACAAAGAUCGCAACAUGCGACAGAGUCUGCAACGUCAGCUUUCAACGUAGGCCACCAGAAAUUUCGUUCAACCAAAUCAAUGGUUCGAUCUCGUCCAGGGUGUCCUGACAAGAUAUCCGUGUGGCUUCGUUCAAUAAUCUCUCGUUUCAAGGCGGGGUCGUUGGGCACCACGAUGCGGUACUCGCACUCCCCCCUUUCUAUCUGAAAGAAUCCGAGAGGAUUCGUCAGAAAGAAACGAGUAUGAUCUGGGUUCUGGAAAUAAGCGUCUCUCUUUGUAGCGUCGGCAAUACGUUGGAUGAGUGGGUCCAGCGUACGUCCCUGAGGGCGACGUGUGGUAACCGCAUUGAAUACCACUAGAGAUGCCAAGGAGGGAUGGCGUGACAAAGCGUCGGCGACCACGUUCAAUCGUCCUGGUCGGUAAAUCCACUCAAAAUCAAAUUGAGCCAGGAACUCAAGCCAACGGGCUUGUCUGCGGCUUAAGUUCGACUGAGUCUUAAGAAAGAUCAGCGGAUGGUGGUCUGUGACGAGAUUAAAAGGUAUGGAACUUUGUAAGUAGCAUCGCCAUUCUCUCAAGGCGUUGAUUACCCCAAGUAGCUCCUGUUCACCCGUGCUGUAGUUCCGUUCAGCAGGGGAAAAUUUCUUACUUGUAAAAGCAACCGGUCGGUUGUUUUGCAGGAGUACUGCGCCAGUUCCGUUCAGCGAAGCAUCUGAAAUCACUUCGAAAGGCUUCGUAAAAUCGGGGUAAUUCAACAAAACGUCGUUCGAUAGUCGAGCUUUGAGUGUUUCAAAGGCUCGUAUGGCUUGUUCAGGCCAUUCAUCGGGUAAUCUUUUCGCACUGAAGAGAUCUGUCAGAGGUGCAGCAAGGGAGCUAAAACCUGCGAUAAAUCGCCGGAAAUAGUUCGCAAGGCCAACGAAAGAUCGAAGUUCAGAGAUGUCCUUUGGCAAGGGCCAAUUUCGAAUGAUCUCAACCUUCUUGGGAUCCAUCCGGAUACCAUCUGCGUUCACGACAUGUCCGAGAUAGUGGACUUCGGUCUUCCAAAAAUCGCACUUGGAAAGCUUGACACGUAACUGAUUUUCCUCAAGGACCUUUAACACCACCCUUAAAUGGCGUGCGUGUUCUUCUGGGGUCUUGGAAAAUAUCAGAAUGUCAUCCAAGUAGACCGUAACAAAUCGGUUCAAGUACGGUGCAAAAAUGCGAUUCAUCAAAUUCUGGAAGGUUGCGGGGGCGUUCGAUAGGCCGAAAGGCAAUACAAGCCACUCGAAGUGUCCGAGAGGGGUUGUGAAAGCCGUCUUAGGAACAUCCUCUGGAGUAACCCGCAACUGGUGGUAGCCAGAAGCUAAAUCAAGGGCCGUGAAAAUCGAUGCACCAGCUAGACGAUCAAGUGUAUCAUCAAUCCGGGGCAAGGGGUAUCGAUUCUUGAUGGUAAUCUUGUUCAAAGCCCGGUAAUCGAUGCACAUGCGUAACUCUCCGGUUUUCUUAGUCACGAAGAGGAUCGGAGCGCCGAAAGGCGAAGUUGAAGGACGGAUAAAUCCUUUCGCAAGCAAAUCUUUGACUUGCUUCUCUACUUCCUCUCGUUCUAACGGCGAAAGUCGCCACUGGGGUCGGAAAGUCGGUUGCGCAUUCGGUUCCAGUGGGAUAGUGUGGUUGACACCUCUAUCCGGUGGUAAUUCUGUAAUUGGUGCGAAAACAUUCGGAAAUUCGUUGAUAAUCUCCACAAGGGAUUCAUUCUCAGUAAUGUGUGGUGGCAGAUCCACAGCAUUAAGCGUUGGUGUGUCUGUGAGCAGGGAUGCGGUUUGCUUCACGACAACAAGCAACGAUCGACAGCCAGCUUCGUUCAAAUCUCGAUAAAUUCUCUUCGGCGAGACGAUCUUAAUUGUCUCAGGUCGUUUUUCAAGAAGCGUGACUGUUGCAUCAGAGACCGUUACGGGAGAUGGCGCAUUCUCCGAUCGUAACGUAACCGAGAGUCCCGUGGGUCGUUUCAAUCUCAAGGAACCUUCCGCGGGUCUUAAUUCGGCGCGGUAUCGUCUCAGAAAAUUCUGACCCAAAACAACAUCGGCGGACGUGGUUAACGUCGGCAAUACGAGGAAACGGACUUCGGCUCGAAAUCUUCCGAUGCGAAGGGAGGUUUUACAUUCACCAACGACGGACGCGUACGAUGCAUCAGCAAGCCGUACCGGUGCGCAUGGUGAAGGUUCUAAGGCUAAUCCAAGACGGUCUGCCAAAGCCUUAGCGAUGAAACAAUGCGUUGCGCCUGAAUCGGGAAGAAUGCGUACUGCAGUCUCACUGAGUCUUCCUGAGAACAGGUCUAAAUACGCAUCUUUUUCUGUCAAGCAGCAACUCGGAUCCAAUCGCUGUCCCGGGGAAGGGGAAUCAUACCAUAGUUGCAAAGGUUCUGUCAGUCGAGGAGGUUCUGGACAUCCUGGGUAGGAAGCUGUGUACAGUCGAGUGCCCUUCGGAAAAGUCCGAAUCAAAGUCAUGCCUUCUAGGAAAGUGCGAAACUUCCCUGGCUUUUCAGGCACUAAAGUACAAGCGGCCAUACUGGGAUCAUGUUCUUUGCAACGUCGAUAGUAUCUCAGAUAAGCAUAAAGCUUUCUACCUGGCGGAUUAAGCCAUAAGGUGUGGCCGGAGCAAUCGAGCGACAGAAAUUGACGCGAUUCUGAUCCAAAAGAUUUACAAACGGCCGUGUUGCCAUCGUCACUGGCACAAGCGUCGAAUGUAAUCUUACGUCUAAUUCGGUUUUCAACAGUCGCAAUGAUUGCUGGAUCGAUUCUCAUCGGUGGGCACGUGUGGUCUAGAGCUUCUACACGCACUUCCAUUUUCGAAUCGUCAUCAACUCGGUCAACCCCAGCCUGCUGGCCACUCUGCAGCUGGGCAACACUUCACUUUCCGCAUGUUUUGGCCAGGUGCCCCUGGCGACCGCACUUCGUGCAGAGGCCGUAUCGUUUGUAUAUGGCCCAUUCAGUCGCCGUGAGGUCAUUCUUGCGCUUUUUCGCGAAGUUCUCCGGCACCGGUGGUGGCGGCGGCAUCGCCUGUGACGAAGGCACCGGUCGCGGCGGCUGCGGCGGCGGCCCGGCGUUUGAAGGCCCAGCCCCGUCGUUGAUUCUAGGCCCGCGGUUCUGGGGUUGCGGCGGCCCAGCGUUCGAAGGGCCCGCGCCGUCGUUUACCCGCGGGUUCGGCCGCGACUUCUUCGCGACCUCUACCCAGGCGUCCCGGCCGUGGGCUCGUUUCGGGUUCUGCUUCGGACGAGGGGUGCGGUCGGCAUAGGAAUAAUUAAGUGAAGGUCGCUUUGAAGUUUCCUUCAAUUUCUUUUCUUCUCCGAUUGCGUGUUCUAUUAAUUCAUUCAAGUCGUAAAAUUCUGCUCCUCUAUAGUUCACUCGGCAGGGAGCGACUAAGGGCAAAAUCAAUCCGCGACGGAAAAGCGUCAAAAUGGUGGAGGUGUCCGUCAUUCUAGCGAUCGUAACCGCCUCACGAAAUCUAGCGGCAUAUUCAGGCACACCCUUUUGGGCGUCCAUUCUAAUCUUGCCAUCUAAAAGCAUCUGCGCUUUUUCUAGGGGUCUUGAACGUACCGAGUCUACGAAGCGCUCGUUAAAGGCUUCGAUCAGCGCUUCCAGCGUCAGGCGUUCGGGUCGGGAGUCCGAGGAUUCGCCGUACUGGUUUAUCCAGUCCGCAGCUUCCGGGUGGUUCUGGAGCGCAGCCAACAUGGCCACGAACGGCGGCGGUGUCUCCCGGCAGUUCUCGUAGUAAAGUCGGAAGUACCGGAUGAAAUUCUCAGCGCUCUGCCCGGCUUUCCACUGCGGUUCAGAAAUUUUCGGGGCUUUCAGCCGGAAACCGGCGUUUGGGUGGGGGUUCGGUGGGUUCCUAGUUACCUCGGGGUUUCUCAAGGGAACGGUGUUCUGGUGAGCCCGCUUCAGUUCACGGAGUUCCGCAGCAAGGGCCGCGAUCUGCUCAUGCAGCACCGCGGUCUCGGGGCUCGGGGUGGGUUCCGGAUUUGGGGGAUUCGGGUUGCCGGAGGCAGGUUGAGACCCGCCGAACCCCCACCCAAACGCCGGUUUCCGGCUGAAAGCCCCGAAAAUUUCUGAACCGCAGUGCAAAGCCGGGCAGAGCGCUGAGAAUUUCAUCCGGUACUUCCGACUUUACUACGAGAACUGCCGGGAGACACCGCCGCCGCCGGGUGAUAUAGCGGCGAGAGCCGACAGGUUACAGGACGGAUUCGCUCCGUCAAGGACUGGGUUCGUUCUUCAGUAGGGGCGUCAGAAGUGUAAGCUUCUGGAAUCCUUCCCACUGGUGUGUUGUUAGGUUGAUGUCUAAUCCCAGGCUUCCUCCCGAGUAUAAAUACUCGUUGCUUAGGAGGCCGUAACAACUUCUAUUGUACGACGUCUCUUCAGAUCUACAUUGGUUGCUCGAACCGAUGAGUCUGCAGGUAUCUCAAGUGCGUGUCACUCCUUGGAAAGGAAGCACGUCUGAACUCUAAGAUAUUCGUAGACUGUUCGUAGCUCAGUCUUAUCAAGCCAUGCCUUAAUCACGCAGCGAUUAAGGUCUGUAACGCUACAACAUCUGCCCCCCUUUCUAGACGCCUGCGUCCACGCGGCGCGCAGUCCAAUAGGCAUCAAUAAGAGAUCUGUCGGGGAAAGCAGGUCCUUCAAUCCAACUGUUAUUCUCAUGUCCAUGACCAACCCAUUUCACGAGAUAUCGUGUCAGGGCUCGGUUUCGGAGUUUCCGUUGAUCAUGAUCUAGAAUGCGUUCAGGUGUCCAUACAGAGGUAGAACCUUCAGGUUCAAUUCUGACUGUAGGUCGAGGUGGUUGUACGGUACCAUCAGAUCGAUAAGGCCGUAUCAACGAUACAUGGAAUACGUUAUGGAAACGGUAUUCCUCCGGAAGUGUCAAUCUAGCGGCAGCAGGAUUGAUCAUCUUCUCAAUCGUGAAAGGUCCAAUCCAUUUAGGCAUCAGUUUCUUCGAACCUUUCUGGAGGGUUAAGUUCUUCGUACUGAGUAAGACUUGUUGUCCUUCAGUAAACGACACAUCACGUCGUCCUUUAUUUUCUUGCUUAGUCAUUCGAUCUUGCGCAGCCAUCAACGCGGAUUUAGCAGCAGCAAGUCUCUUGGCAUACGUAUCAACGUAACCUUUGGCAAAGGGAACUGUGUCACCGAGUUCGAGUUGUACAGGGGUCUUAGGAUGAUAGCCAUAAUUCAGGAAGAAUGGACUAACUCCUGUCGAACGAUUAAUUAAUCGCAAAUUCGGCCGGUCCGAGAUAUAUCUCCCACUGUGAAGGUUCCUGAUCACAGUAGUUUCUCAACAUGUCUCCAAGGACGCGGUUAACUCGUUCUGUCUGACCAUCAGUCUGAGGAUGGAAAGCAGUACUCAUCGCCUGCUUUACCUCUAGCCUCUUCAUGAGAGAGGUCCAGAAAGCACCAGUAAACUUGGUGUCACGGUCUGAGACGAUGGUAUCUGGUAAACCGUGAAGCCGUACCACGGUGUCAAAGAAUAAAUCUGCAGUUUCUUCUGCAUCUAUCUCUUUCUUGCAUGGUCGUACAUGCACCAUCUUAGUCAGUCGGUCUACAAAUACCACAAGGGAGUUGUAACCUUUUCUAGUCGCUGCGUGAUUAAGGUCUGUAACGCUAUAAGGCGCUACAACAGGACAGGGCGUGGGGAAGUUUAUCAAUCACACACAUACAUACAGACACACACAUCAU
rnacentral:lncRNA from 1 species